GCCUGGGUGGCUCAGUGGAUUAAGCGUCUGACUUCAGCUCAGAUCAGAUCUCGCAGUUCAUGAGUUCAAGCCCCACGUCAGGCU
rnacentral:tRNA from 1 species